CAGCCGCCACGGGAAUACGGAGGGUGCAAGCGUUAAUCGGAAUUACUGGGCGUAAAGCGCACGCAGGCGGUCUGUCAAGUCAGAUGUGAAAUCCCCGGGCUUAACCUGGGAACUGCAUUUGAAACUGGCAGGCUAGAGUCUUGUAGAGGGGGGUAGAAUUCCAGGUGUAGCGGUGAAAUGCGUAGAGAUCUGGAGGAAUACCGGUGGCGAAGGCGGCCCCCUGGACGAAGACUGACGCUCAGGUACGAAAGCGUGGGGAGCAAACAGGAUUAGAGACCCGUGUAGUCCCUGUCUCUUAUAC
rnacentral:rRNA from 1 species